rnacentral:rRNA from 1 species
AUUGAACGCUGGCGGCAGGCCUAACACAUGCAAGUCGGGCGAGCGGCGGACGGGUGAGUAAUGUAUGGGGAUCUGCCUGAUGGCGGGGGAUAACUACUGGAAACGGUAGCUAAUACCGCAUACCAUCAGAUGAACCCAUAUGGGAUUAGCUAGUAGGUAAGGUAACGGCUUACCUAGGCGACGAUCCCUAGCUGGUCUGAGAGGAUGAUCAGCCACACUGGAAGUAGGACAGGGCCCGGACUCCGCGGGGCGGCAGCAGGGGGGAAUAUGGCAAAAUGGGCGAAAGACUGAGGAGGCCAUGCGGGGUGUAGAAAAAAGGCCUUGGGGUUGUAAAGUACUUUCAGUCGGGAGGCGUUACCGACAGAGGAAGCACCGGCUAACUCCGUGCAAGCAGCGGGGGUAUAC